CACUCCUACGGGAGGCAGCAGUGGGGAAUAUUGGACAAUGGGCACAAGCCUGAUCCAGCCAUGCCGCGUGAGUGAUGAAGGCCCUAGGGUUGUAAAGCUCUUUCACCGGUGAAGAUAAUGACGGUAACCGGAGAAGAAGCCCCGGCUAACUUCGUGCCAGCAGCCGCGGUAAUACGAAGGGGGCUAGCGUUGUUCGGAUUUACUGGGCGUAAAGCGCACGUAGGCGGACUAUCAAGUCAGGGGUGAAAUCCCGGGGCUCAACCCCGGAACUGCCUUUGAUACUGGUAGUCUUGAGUUCGAGAGAGGUGAGUGGAAUUCCGAGUGUAGAGGUGAAAUUCGUAGAUAUUCGGAGGAACACCAGUGGCGAAGGCGGCUCACUGGCUCGAUACUGACGCUGAGGUGCGAAAGCGUGGGGAGCAAACAGGAUUAGAUACCCGGGUAGUCCCA
rnacentral:rRNA from 1 species